rnacentral:miRNA from 1 species
UCUUGGACAAAUAUCAAGUAGAU